AAAAGAGAAGAUGGGUAGAGGAAAAAUUGACAUAAAAUUGAUUGAGAAUCUAAAUAAUAGACAAGUAACAUUUUCUAAGAGGCGUGCUGGCUUGUUGAAGAAAGCCGGGGAGCUUUCUGUUCUUUGUGAUUCUGAAGUUGCUGUUAUUAUUUUCUCAAGUACUGGAAAGCUUUUUGAGUUUUCAAGUACUAGCAUGAAACAGACGCUUUCCAGAUACAACAAAUGUGUAGCCUCGACAGAUAAUUCUGCCGUAGAAAAGAAGUCAGAGGACAACGAGCAGCCACAGUUGCAGCAGCAGACACAUGUGCUGAAGCAGGAACAAAAAGAGGUGGACAGUCUUAAAGACGAACUCGCAAAGCUCAAGAUGAAACAACAGCGGUUGUUAGGCAAGGACCUUAAUGGUAUGGGUUUGAAUGAGCUACGGCUUCUUGAACAUCAACUAAAUGAAGGACUACUAGCCAUAAAGGAGAGAAAGGAGGAAUUGCUGAUACAGCAACUAGAGUAUUCUAGGAAACAGGAGGAGAGG
rnacentral:misc_RNA from 1 species